rnacentral:rRNA from 1 species
CAGGCCUAACACAUGCAAGUCGAACGCAUCCUUCGGGGUGAGUGGCAGACGGGUGAGUAACACGUGGGAACGUGCCCUUCGGUUCGGAAUAACUCAGGGAAACUUGAGCUAAUACCGGAUACGCCCUUAUGGGGAAAGGUUGACCGCCGAAGGAUCGGCCCGCGUCUGAUUAGCUUGUUGGUGGGGUAACGGCCUACCAAGGCGACGAUCAGUAGCUGGUCUGAGAGGAUGAUCAGCCACACUGGGACUGAGACACGGCCCAGACUCCUACGGGAGGCAGCAGUGGGGAAUAUUGGACAAUGGGCGCAAGCCUGAUCCAGCCAUGCCGCGUGAGUGAUGACGGCCUUAGGGUUGUAAAGCUCUUUCGUCCGGGACGAUAAUGACGGUACCGGAAGAAGAAGCCCCGGCUAACUUCGUGCCAGCAGCCGCGGUAAU